AUCGACUUUCAUUAUAUAUAUAUCAACUUUCAUUAUAUAUAUAUCAAAUCUUUUUUUCCUACCGAGCCCCGGAAGGGACAUGUCCGUAUGGCGAAGCGACAACGAAGGACACUCACCCGGACGAGAAUUUUAUUGAGUUUUAUUUUAAAAUCGGCCUGAAACACACAGACAUUCAAGCAGUGCGAUGCGCUAAGAGUCUGCCAUGCAGACCAGCGAUCCUGAUAAUGUUGUCGGCCUUGGAUGAUGAGGUCCAGUUACCAGGAGCACUAGUCUGCAGCUUACUGGUUCCGUCUUGCAGCUCCUCCACGCUGUCCUCCUCUCUACAGACCAAAUCAAGAAAAGGGAACCAGGAAGCUGCUGUGGAUCCUCUGCAGUAUCUGGAGAGGUCAGAGGAACGGUUCUUGGAACAGAUCGGAAGACACCAAGACGUGACCUCUGCCAUGCUCCAGAACAUCCAGAAGAUGAAUGAAAACCUUGGUUGCACUGAUGGGACGCAUGGUGUCGGUGCUGGAGCAACUGUCCCAGAAUUAAACUGCAUUGUUGACUAUUGGCUUUUCUAGAAAAUAAAUCUUUUUUAGUACUUCA